rnacentral:lncRNA from 1 species
GGUUCUAUUUUUUCCAUUUUUGAUUGCUAAUUGCUGCACUUGGUGGAUAAAUCAUUGUUUUCUUGUUGGUUAGACUCUAGUAUACUAAAAGAUGGUAUCAGAAGUAUUUUGUAAAUGCCUGGGUCUGAAAUUUAGUAUAUUACAUUUGCCCAUCCCUGAGGUAGUUCUGUGUUUGUUUGGUAGAACAUAUAUGAAACCUAGGUUUUCAGAACAUACAUGCAACCUAGAUUUUCAGUAAUCAGAAACAAUGAGAAAAUAAUUCUGCUUUUCACCUGCUACUGUUAUGGAUUGUUCAUUCAAGGAGACAUAUGAUUAAAGGUGUAGUCUUAUCUUUUGAUAAAUAGUUAUUAAAUGUCUGGAAUUGUGAACAUAAUUACUAGAUUGAAUUGCUUUAUUUCAUAAUGGCAUGGAAUUUAUCAGAACUUGCUCAUUUAAGGAGUUAGUCAUCGAAAAGGUUUUUGAUACAAUAAGCUG